CCCUUAGAUGUUCUGGGCCGCACACGCGCUACACUGAAGGAGGCAGCGUGUACUCCUGGAUCGAAAGAUUUGGGUAACCCGCGAAUCUCCUUCGUGCUAGGGAUUGAGGUUUGCAAUUAUCCUUCAUGAACGAGGAAUUCCCAGUAAGUGCAAGCCAUAAGCUUGCGCUGACUACGUCCCUGCCCUUUGUACACACUGCCCGUCGCUACUACCGAUUGAAUGAUUUAGUGAGGACUUCGGACUGGGACCGAUGCGGCUUUCGGGCUGCGUCGGUAUUCUGGAAAGAUGUCCAAACUGUAUCAUUUAGAGGAAGUAAAAGUCGUAACA
rnacentral:rRNA from 1 species